rnacentral:miRNA from 1 species
CGGACAGUGCACGGGUAUUUU